UUCGUCUUGAUUCUGUACCGUUAAUCCCGCAAUCUUGUAACACGUCUUGCUUCUCCAAGCAACUCUCUAAACAGCUCCUUAAAUUAUUUAUUUUCUUUUUCUAUUUCUUUUCUUCUUUUCUUUCUUCUCUUUAUUUCUUUUCUCUUCUUGCUCUCCUCUCUUCUCUCUUGGUCACGUAAGUGUGGAAAUGGAAGAGGUUGACCUUCCUUUUAUAGUUAAACAAGAUCUAUGAGGUGGUGACAAGUAUCACACACUCUCCCUCCCA
rnacentral:lncRNA from 1 species